rnacentral:tRNA from 2 species
CACUAGGUGACUGAAAAAAGUAUAGGUCUUUUAAACCUAUUAUAGUAAUUUACUUACUUCUAGUGA